rnacentral:rRNA from 1 species
UACGUAGGGCGCGAGCGUUAAUCGGAAUUACUGGGCGUAAAGCGUGCGCAGGCGGUUCGCUGUGUCCUGUGUGAAAGCCCCGGGCUUAACCUGGGAAUGGCAUGGGAAACUGGCGGGCUGGAGUGUGGCAGAGGGGGGUGGAAUUCCGCGUGUAGCAGUGAAAUGCGUAGAGAUCCGGAGGAACACCAAAGGCGAAGGCAGUGUCCUGGGGAGUACCUGACGCUCAGGUGCGAAAGCCAGGGGAGCGAACGGG